AUUGAACGCUGGCGGCAGGCCUAACACAUGCAAGUCGAACGAGUGGCGGACGGGUGAGUAAUGUCUGGGAAACUGCCUGAUGGAGGGGUAUAACUACUGGAAACGGUAGCUAAUACCGCAUACCCUCAGAUGUGCCCCGAUGGGAUUAGCUAGUUGGUGGGGUAACGGCUCACCAAGUCGACGAUCCCUAGCUGGUCUGAGAGGAUGAACAGCCACAUGGAAACUGAGACACGGUCCAGACGCCGACGGGAGGCAGCAGUGGGUAAUAUUGCACAAGGGGCGCAAGCCUGAUGCAGCCAUGCCGCGUGUAGGAAGAAGGCCUUCGGGUUGUAAAGUACUUUCAGCGGGGAGGCGUUACCCGCAGAAGAAGCACCGGCUAACUCCGUGCCAGCAGCCGCGGUAAUUC
rnacentral:rRNA from 1 species